CAGACACUUUUGGAGUCACUGCAAUAAUCUUUAAUAAAUAAAAAUAGUUAUCUUUGAUAAUAUAUAAUAGUAAAUUUUAAAAAAUUCUGUAAAUGUAUUUUACGAUUUGACGAAAAUUUUACUUGUAUUACAAUUUUUAAAUACAGUACACCUAAAAAUUGCAAUAAAUAUUCUGUAAAAUAAAGUUUUAUGUAAUACAAGUGUGAUAAACAAGCUAAAUAGAUUAAUAUUGCCAUACUUAUAAGACCUUCAUGGCUUCAAGUUUUUUUGAAGAGAAGAGUGGCAUAAUUCCAUGUAAUACAGAAUGGGGAAGAUGGUGGCAAACUGUCGACGAAAUUCAUAUUGAAAUAAAAUCUCCUAUCAGUUUAAAAUCGAAAGAUAUAAAAGUCAAUGUUACUAAUUCAAGUAUCAACUGCGAAAUUUUAGGAAAAUUGUUGUUUUCUGGUAAUUUAUAUAGAAAAGUACAUGCUGAUGAAACUGUGUGGACUUUAGAAGAUAAUUGUACUUUAAUUAACAUUGUGCUAACCAAAGCUGAUUACAUAAAAAAAGAAAUAGUCUGGGAAGCAUUAAUGGAAGAUAAGUCAUUUAUGGCCGAUCCUUUAACUUUUAUAGAAAUGAGGAAAAAAAUGGAUCUUGAAAAAUUUCAAAUUGAGAAUAUUACAGUUAGAAAAUGAUUCAAUCAAGAAAAUAUGUAGUCAAUAACAACUUUUAAAUCAGUAUUUUGCAAUUUAAUAACACUUUAGAAUAUAGACUGAGAAUGAGGUACGGAUUAACAUAAAAAUAAUUAAACGGAGAAAUAAUUACAACUAUGGAAACCAAAAAAAAAAUUUAUUGAUGUAGGAUAAGUCUAAUAGUCAACAAGAAAUCAAUCACUCUGUAUAAACACAUUCUUUUGAUUAUUCUGCUUAUCCUGGAAUGGAUUUUAGCAAAGCACAACUUCAAAAGAGUUAUGACCAUAUGCCUGAUUUCGAAAAUUAACAUUGAUUGAAAAAACGAUUGUAAUUUAAAAAAAUAAAAUUUUCUUAUUAUGCAGUAUA